rnacentral:rRNA from 1 species
UACAGAGGGGGCUAGCGUUAUUCGGAAUUAUUGGGCGUAAAGGGCGCGUAGGCGGCUUUGCAAGUGGCGGGUGAAAUCCCUCGGCUUAACCGAGGAACUGCCUGUCAAACUGCAUGGCUUGAGACCAGGAGAGGUGAGUGGAAUUCCCAGUGUAGCGGUGGAAUGCGUAGAGAUCCGGAAGAACACCAGUGGCGAAGGCGGUCUGCUGGGCAGUGGACUCGAGAGAGUCCUUCAACCGACACUGAGGCGCGACAGCGUGGGGAGCAAACAGG